GCGGUGAAUUCAAGCCCCGGUAAACGGCGGUGGUAACAAUAACCAUCCUAAGGUAGCGAAAUUCCUUGUCGGGUAAGUUCCGACCUGCACGAAUGGCGUAACGACUUCCCCACUGUCUCGACCAGGAGCUCGGCGAAAUUGCAGUACGAGUAAAGAUGCUCGUUAAGCGCAGAAGGACGAAAAGACCCCGGGACCUUUACUAUACCUUGGUAUUGGCGUUAGGCGCGGAUUGUGUAGCAUAGGCGGGAGGCUUCGAAGCAUGGGCGCCAGCCCGUGUGGAGCCGCAAGGUGAAAUACCGCUCUGUUCUCGUUUGACGUCUAACCUCGAACAGUCAUCCUGUUCAGGGACAGUGCCUGGCGGGUAGUUUAACUGGGGCGGUUGCCUCCCAAAGAGUAACGGAGGCGCUCAAAGGUCCGCUCAGCCCGGUUGGCAAUCGGGUUUCGAGUGUAAU
rnacentral:rRNA from 1 species